GUGAGGAAUAUUGCGCAAUGGAGGCAACUCUGACGCAGCCAUGCCGCGUGCAGGAAGAAGGCGCUACGCGUUGUAAACUGCUUUUAACCGGGAAGAAACCCCAGGACGUGUCCUGGGUUGACGGUACCGGAGGAAUAAGCACCGGCUAACUUCGUGCCAGUAGCCGCGGUAAUACGAAGGGUGCAAGCGUUAUCCGGAUUCAUUGGGUUUAAAGGGUGCGUAGGCGGAGCGUUAAGUCAGUGGUGAAAUCCUGCAGCUUAACUGUAGACUUGCCAUUGAUACUGGCGCUCUUGAGUGCGCUUGAAGUGGGCGGAAUGUGCCGUGUCGCGGUGAAAUGCUUAGAUAUGGCACAGAACACCAAUUGCGAAGGCAGCUCACUAAGGCGAUACUGACGCUGAUGCACGAAAGCGUGGGGAUCGAACAGGAUUAGAUACCCCGGUAGUCC
rnacentral:rRNA from 1 species